CUAAUAUUUUUUGUUUUUAAAAUUUAAUUAUAAAUACCAAAUCUACCCUCUUUGUAAGAUAAUAAGAUUAUGGUUUCUCAACCAAAUGAAAUCAAACUUCUCUUUUCUUAUAUUCUCUCUUCCUUCCAACUACGGCCACUACCACCACCUUCUUCGUCCGAUCCACCACCUCCUCCACCUCCUACCACCAGCGACACCACCGCCACCUCCUAAAUAAUCUAUUGACAUCGAUUUUCACCUUGAUUCAACUGCAAAACUUAAAUCUAGUUAUGAAUCAACGAGAAACAGAUCUCCAAAACCUAAUCCCGAGCAUCAAAAACGAUAGAUUCAUUUCGAUUUCGAUUUGAUUUGGCUUGAAAAAGCUUAAAUCGAUGAUUUUGGUGAUAGUUCUUGAAGAUUGUCUGCAUCGAUUAACAGAACUGCUUAGCACCACUGAUCCGGCGCCACCACCAGAAAGAGGGGGUGUUUCUACAAUUUGUAGUUUUUUUUUUUAAUUUUUUACAAUUUAUUUUUGGUUUGAAUAGAAAUUAUGUUUUAAUGUAUAUAGUCAUCAACAGAUUCAAAAAAAGUUCAUGUUUUCUCUAUUGAUUUUAAUUUUUAAAUUUGAUGUGUCGUUAGUGGUGGUGGUGGCAGUUAUUGUUGGUGGUGGAUGUUGCGGUAUUGAUGUUGGUGUCUGUUGCUGAGAGAUGAGCACAUGUAUAUUGAUUACUUGCGUAAUUGUCGGUAGCUGCAUACGCUGGGAUUAUUACUUGGAAAUCCAUGCUAUUAGAACAUUGUGUGAGCAUAGGUAAUAGUUUACAGGAAGUACCCCGUUGUUGGCCGUAGCUUGAUACCACAUUUGAUUUGAUUACAUUAAUUUGUUACCUUGUCAUUAUUUAUUUUCUAUACUUCAUUCAUAAUACAAAAGAGAACAGUAGUCGGCUAUGUGCAGUGGUAUGAGGAGCUUACUUUAGAUAAUUACUUAGAUCUUAUAAAGGAGUAUGUGGUAGGUAUGGGACCUGAUAUAGACUCAAUUAUACCUAUUGAGAGUAAUUUACUUACAUUGACAGAUUUGGUCAUAUUGUUCAUGUAUAUUUUUGGACUUUGGUUUUUAUGGAAUCGACUAUGGUUGUUGAUCCCCUAAAUUGGAUCAACUUCUAAUAUUGAUUUGGAUCAAUUAAUGUUGUUGAUCCCUCAAAUGGGAUCAACUCAUGUUGUUGACCCGAUUUUAUUUGGAUCAACUACCGUUGUUGAUCCGAUUAACUCGUAUCAUUGACAACGUUUCCUUGGAUUAGUAUAAUCAUGCUUAUAUGUUUGUAUGUGGGUUUUAAUUGUGGAUUUGCAUAAUCAUGUUUAUAGUUUUCGUUGUUUUGCUAUCCUAUUUGUAUAUGUGGGUUUGAACUGUGAAUUUGCAACUGCAUGUAUUGGGUAUAACAAAUUAUAUAAGUGAUUAUAUAGUUUUUCAGUUGAUCACAAGAAAGGUAUGGUGAGCAAGGAUUUCGGUACCUCCAAACAGACUGAAAUGUUGUUUUGGUGGUGGGUGUAAAUUUUAUUGUCAUGGAGGUGAUAGUGGUGGAUUUGUUGUAGUAGUGAGGAUGGUGGUGAUAGCAACGUUGUUGUUUAUAUGAUUGAAUAGAUCGACUAGAGACGCAUUCUUUUUA